rnacentral:tRNA from 2 species
GGGCCCGUAGCUCAGCCAGGCAGAGCGGCGGGCUUUUAACCCGUUGGUCCCGGGUUCAAAUCCCGGCGGGCCCGCCA